rnacentral:rRNA from 1 species
CAGCACCUCAAGUGGUCAGGAUGAUUAUUGGGCCUAAAGCAUCCGUAGCCGGCGCUGUAAGUUUUCGGUUAAAUCUGUACGCUCAACGUACAGGCUGCCGGGAAUACUGCAGCGCUAGGGAGUGGGAGAGGUAGACGGUACUCGGUAGGAAAGGGUAAAAUCCUUUGAUCUAUUGAUGACCACCUGUGGCGAAGGCGGUCUACCAGAACACGUCCGACGGUGAGGGAUGAAAGCUGGGGGAGCAAACCGGAUUAGAUACCCGAGUAGUCC